rnacentral:lncRNA from 1 species
AACAUAAAGUUAAUUUUGAUUAUUUGAUCAAUACAGUAUCGAUACGUAAAUUAAAAAAUAAUUCCUCCAUUUGUAUGUCACUAUUGUAUUGGUACGAACUUAUCAUGAAGAUGGUAACCGGAUAAAGCAUUCAAGCUCAAAUUACACAAAAAAGAAAAAAUAUUCUCUUAAUUAUAACAUAAUUGGUAGUACAUGCGACAGAUCUGAGACGAGGAUAUUUGGGUAAUUGCACCAACUGGGGGAGACAUACAUGUCUAGGAACUUGUUGCAGCAAGACUAAGUGGGAAAAAUCCAAGAACAGCACCAUCCUCGACCAUGUGCGACUCCACCCAACUUCAGAUCAAACCCUAAAACCGCUGCAGCACUUAUUUUAACCUUGAAACUGCUUUUCAAAAUAACAACAUAAUCAAAUCAAAUCAAACCUAACCUACCUAGAUACAGGUUAUUAAUUGGAAGCCUUGACAAAUAUAUAUAUAUACACAAAAAAAACUUGAAACUGAAAACGAGUAAACUAAAUUUAUUCUGCUUUGAAACCCUAGCAGAAUAAACACCAAAUGUGGAUAGGAAUGGAAGGAUUUAAGUAUCGUAGUAACUAAGCCUGGAUACUGUCAUAGAGGAAUUAGCAUCUAAAAUAAAACAAGGGAGUUGCAUAGUGUGUUUUAAUGGGUUCCUGAAUCACAAUUAACUAAUCCCAUUAGCUGCAAAAACUCCCUGAUUCGGUCACCGAGCAGUCCGACAACCCUCCACUUACCCAAGAUGACCCCUUCAAAAACUCUCUGAUUCGUUGCAUACUCCCUCCGAAGUGGUAUUGAUUUGAUGGCGAAGCUGUUAUUUUGCAAAUAACUAGUUAACCUUUCAAGUAAUCAGACCUAAAAAAACAUAAUCUUGCUAGAAGUAUAUUGCUGGAAUAACAAACACACACUCACACACACACACACACACAUAUAUAUAUAUAGGUGUGUCGAUCCACAUUUUUCUUAUACUUUACUCGUAAUUAUAUAAUCAACACAAAUAAAUAAAUUUGUGUAUUUAUAAAUAGGCAUGAUAAAAUAUUUAGUGAGAUAAGGGAGCUCCCUUCAGUCCAAGUACAGGAAGCUUAAGACUCAAUCUGCCUCCCGCAUCAUUCACUCAGUUACCCAUUAUAUAUAAAAUAAAGAGUAUUUGUAUGAAUGAGUCGGCAGCUAAUUGAACCCUACAUGCCACCCAUGAGUGGACUGAAGAAAGCUCUCUCUCUUCUCCUUCAUUAUUUUAUUUCAUAACUAAUUAAUUAUUAAAAUACAAAUUAAAGCUACAUAUAUAUACACAAUGAAAACAACUCUAGCACUACAUCAGAGCUGCCUGCUCAUAGCAAAAGAUCCACUUAGUUUCAAAAUCAAGUUAAGAUACUCUACAUACAUACAUAAUAUAUAUAUCAUCUCACAAAGAAUUUGAAAGAGAAAAUAGGUGAAAAGAAGGUUGCAUAAAGUUUGGAUGAAAAGGAUAAAGAAAGAAAAAAGAAGGGUUAAUAAGAAGAGAGAGAGCUAGCUAGCUAGAGGCUUGAAUGAUAUACCGGAAGAGAAAUGUUUCUACUUAUUCCAGUAGAGUAGUGUCUCACUAGCUCACAAGUC